UGGGGAAUAUUGGACAAUGGGCGAAAGCCUGAUCCAGCCAUGCCGCGUGUGUGAAGAAGGUCUUCGGAUUGUAAAGCACUUUAAGUUGGGAGGAAGGGCAUUAACCUAAUACGUUAGUGUUUUGACGUUACCGACAGAAUAAGCACCGGCUAACUUCGUGCCAGCAGCCGCGGUAAUACGAAGGGUGCAAGCGUUAAUCGGAAUUACUGGGCGUAAAGCGCGCGUAGGUGGUUUGUUAAGUUGAAUGUGAAAGCCCCGGGCUCAACCUGGGAACUGCAUCCAAAACUGGCAAGCUAGAGUAUGGCAGAGGGUGGUGGAAUUUCCUGUGUAGCGGUGAAAUGCGUAGAUAUAGGAAGGAACACCAGUGGCGAAGGCGACCACCUGGACUGAUACUGACACUGAGGUGCGAAAGCGUGGGGAGCAAACAGGAUUAGAUACCCCCGUAGUCCCUGAGCGGGCUGGCAAGGCGCAU
rnacentral:rRNA from 1 species